rnacentral:rRNA from 1 species
CCUACGGGAGGCAGCAGUGGGGAAUAUUGGGCAAUGGGCGCAAGCCUGACCCAGCAACGCCGCGUGAAGGAAGAAGGCUUUCGGGUUGUAACCUUCUUUUAAGGGGGAAGAGCAGAAGACGGUACCCCUUGAAUAAGCCACGGCUAACUACGUGCCAGCAGCCGCGGUAAUACGUAGGUGGCAAGCGUUGUCCGGAUUUACUGGGUGUAAAGGGCGUGCAGCCGGAGAGACAAGUCAGAUGUGAAAUCCACGGGCUCAACCCGUGAACUGCAUUUGAAACUGUUUCCCUUGAGUGUCGGAGAGGUAAUCGGAAUUCCUUGUGUAGCGGUGAAAUGCGUAGAUAUAAGGAAGAACACCAGUGGCGAAGGCGGAUUACUGGACGAUAACUGACGGUGAGGCGCGAAAGCGUGGGGAGCAAACAGGAUUAGAUACCCCUGUAGUC